AUUGAACGCUGGCGGCAGGCCUAACACAUGCAAGUCGAACGGCAGCACAGAAGAGCUUGCUCUUUGGGUGGCGAGUGGCGGACGGGUGAGUAAUGUCUGGGAAACUGCCCGAUGGAGGGGGAUAACUACUGGAAACGGUAGCUAAUACCGCAUAACGUCGCAAGACCAAAGUGGGGGACCGUCGGGCCUCACACAAUCGGAUGUGCCCAGAUGGGAUUAGCUAGUAGGUGGGGUAAUGGCUCACCUAGGCGACGAUCCCUAGCUGGUCUGAGAGGAUGACCAGCCACACUGGAACUGAGACACGGUCCAGACUCCUACGGGAGGCAGCAGUGGGGAAUAUUGCACAAUGGGCGCAAGCCUGAUGCAGCCAUGCCGCGUGUAUGAAGAAGGCCUUCGGGUUGUAAAGUACUUUCAGCGGGGAGGAAGGCGGUGAGGUUAAUAACCUCGCCGAUUGACGUUACCCGCAGAAGAAGCACCGGCUAACUCCGUGCCAGCCGCCGCCGUAAUAC
rnacentral:rRNA from 1 species